AAAAGUGGUGGUAGAGGAACUAGAAGAUAAGUUAACUGUUUCAUACUUAUGUGCGAUGCUUAUUUGGUAUGUCGUUUCAAACUCUCAGUUUUAUAGUUUUGAGCCACAUUACAAAUGCUGAAGACAACCAAUUGCUUCCCUGUUUGUAGCUAGAGCACAAGUUUAGCUAUAUCGUUCUGUUCAUGUCACAGUCAAGGAGUCGAACUCGGUGUUGAACUUUAACAGCGACAUCCAACAAUCGGGCCUUUGCUGACUUUGAUGAAAAAGGGUGGAAUAGUGCUCAAAUUUGGCCACAUUUUUGUGUUCACUACUGUAGAUGUUCAAUUAAUCAGUCUGUUUACACGAAACACAUCGCUGUUCUCCACUGGUAGCGGUUUGCUGUGUGCUAGCUUGUUUAUGCAUUUUUAGGUCAAAGGAAACACUGCGGGCCUAGUUUACUAAAGGUUUGUGCAUGCAAAAAAUGUGAGCAAACUUGAUUACUCAUGCACACUGAUAUGGAAGCUGAUCUACUAUCGGGCCACAAUCAGUAUUGCAUCUGCCAAAUGCAAAAAAAUGUGUGCAAUUCAUUUAUGGGAGGAGAAAAUGCAAAAUAAUAAAACAAAUUUAGCACGCACAAUGUGAUUUGUCUAACCUGAGAAGAAUUGUGCUGGCUGAUAUUUAUUUUUUAAAUGACACGUCCAAAAGGCAUGUGGAAACGAUGACCCUGUUACUGUGGUGAGGAGGACACGCAAGCAAAAUGAGAGGCAACAGGGAGAACUGUUCGUUUCCGCUCGUGUAAACAUUUUUGAAAUGCUAGAAUUUUGCCAAAAAAUGAUCACGACAUAUCUAUUUAGCAAUGCAAUUUUGGAGCUUCUGAAUAAUCUAAGGGAUGACUUCAAGCCAGUUACAAGAAGGUGUCACGGUAUACCACAGAUGACAAAACUCCUUUAAACUUUGCAUUUCCUUGCAUCUGGAUAAUUUCAGUGUACUGUGGCAAUUGGUUUUAGGCUCACCUAGAGCAGUUUUUCACGUGUGCUGUCCUAAAUUUUAAAUGUAAUGUUACGCAGAACACAGCCAAUUACCACAUAUUUGUGGUGGGUUAAACCAAACAAAACAUGGCAUUUAUGCGGUUGUUGGCUUCUGUAAAAUAAUCAGAGUGAUAGAUUACUUUUCUGUAACUCAGUAAUAGGUUUGUCCAUUCCACUAACACUUCCAACUCCAUCACUUCAAACUUCAUUUUUCACUUGUGGUGUUCUCCAUCAGCACUACCUUAAGGACAAAAAGCUCUUUUAAAACAGUCUCCACCACUUUUAUAACUUUUGCCAACUGUGCGCAUGCAAACCUAUUAGAGUGAGUGAACACGCAAUUGAGCGUCUGCUAUUUGGGAUCUUAGUAAAUCAGGCCCUGACUUUCUUUAAUAGUUUAAUAUUAACUGGAUCUGCACAAAAUAUGUUAGGUAACACAGAUAUUAUGUUGAUCAAAUUUUGUUGUGUGUAACUAUCCAUCCAUCCAUUUUCUUCACCGCUGCUCCUCACUAGGGUCGGGGGCGUGCUGGAGCCUAUCCCAGCUAUGUUCGGGCAGGAGGCGGGGUACACCCUGAACUGGUUGCCAGCCAAUCACAGGGCACAUACAAACAAACAAACAUUCGUACUCACGUUCACACCUACGGGCAAUUUAGAGUUGUCAGUUAACCUACCAUGUAUAUUUUUGGGAUGUGGGAGGAAACCGGAGUGCCCGGAGAAAACCCACAUAGGCACGGGGAGAACAUGCAAACUGCACACAGGCGGGGCCGGGGAUUGAACCCAAGUCCUCAGAACUGUAAGGCAGACGCUCUAACCAGUCCUUCACCGUGCUUGUGUGUAACUAGCAAAACACAUUUGAGUGGAGCAAGUUGACAUAAAUGUGUAAGUAAAUGUCUUUUUUUUUUUUUUUUAAGUACUGAAAAAAAAAAAUAAUAGAAUUGUGCCACCUGUGACAGUGGUGGGGCAUUUAAUUCUGCUAGUAAACUGAUUUCUAUAGUGAGUCAAGUGUGGCUACUUCACCAUCCUUGCGGAAUGAAAUUAGUUUUUGUUUUUGGGGCAGAAAAUAUGUCUAAAAAUUGCCAUUUUUAUUCACUUUUUACAUAUAUUACAAGCAUUUAUUUUCACCGAAUGCCAUCUUAGCAUAAAUUAAACAAUAAUAUUAAUAUUUGGUUGCCAUUAUUUUCAAUGACUUCAAAUUCAAUUAGUUGAUAAAAAUACAUCUAGUAUUAUAUAAAUGAAAUUCAACGAUGAUGAUAUUUUUAUAUGAUUUUCAUAGUCAUAAGCGCACUCUGAGAGAACCCAUAACUAAAAAAAAUUGCUGAACUCACCCCUGCUUGUAGCACAGUGCAAGGGGUUGGAUUUAAUGUGUCAAGAUAUAGCACUAUGCAUUCAAAUUGUCUUGCCUCGUACUUUACCUCCAUGCGGGCCCGUGCACCUCCUUGCUUCUUGUUUCUCCCCUGCUUGCCUCAUGUGUAAGGGGAUAUCUCCCGCCGACUUCCCGCCUGGCUGGCUGCAGGCCCGACACACUGAACACAGCUUAAGAGGGAGGAAAUGUAUGAAAAUAUCAUCAGGAGUCGGGAAAGCAGUGUGAUUUUUUUUGGCGCUUGUAAACCUUGUAACAACAGUAUUUUUCAUGUGUGUGUGGAGGAGAGGAUAGAUCAAGCCCAGACGUUGUGUGUGUCCCCCACGCUGGCUGUCCUCAUUCUGCUAUGAUGCCGCUGGGAAACAUCCACUUGUCGUCUCGAGAGGGUUUCUGUGUAAAGCUUAGUCUUAUGAAGGAAAAUAUUCCAGAUGUAUAGACGGUAUUAAAUGGUAUUAGACGGUAUAAGCACGUGGCGAUCACCUCUUUUUGAAAAUAUUGUCGUUCUCUGUAAGGAGCUUGGAAAGAGCAAAGAGUUCUAAUAAGUGUGUCUCUUUAGCCAUGCUACUGCCUUUACAGUAAGUGAUGAGGUGCAACUCACUGGUUAAAAUGUGGUGCAAAUCUCCUGCCAAAAGCAAUGGUUUUAGACUUAGCCUUGAGCAUGUCACCGCACAUAAAGAUAUACAUGACUGGAAUGUAGUAUGAGCGGUGAAAACCAAGUAGGUCACGAUUAAGCCUUCAAAAGAGGAGACGUGCUUCACAUUUUUUUUAACAGUUAAAGGAAGUGCAUGGCUUAAAGCUGUCAAUCAAACUUCUCUGUUGCACUUUUACAUUUGUAUUAAAGGUUUGUUCCAUGACCACGCUCGUAGCUCAAAAGACUUAUUGCAAAGCAUCUUUUCCCAUUGAAAUGAAUGGCAAUGCCACUAAUCCGUUCCAGCCUUCCCCUAAAAGCAAGAAUUGCUGUAAUGUGUAUUUUCACGGUGAAAAAUAGCACUCCAUAAUAUUGUACUUUAUAAAAACAUACAGUAAUGACUAUUGAUUAAAUACAAUCAAAAAGAAUUUGACAGUUAAUGUCACACUCCAUCAGUUGAAUGGCUAUUGUGCUGCUCUUCCUGGUGUGCCCGCCUUGGCCAGGUGGGGGCAGUAUAAGACAGACUGAUCAAUAUACUGUUCUCAAAUCCCCUCAGCUUAUCAGUGCGGCACUAAUAGUAGUCGUCCUUCACAGAGGUUAAAGAAUAUAUUACUUUGAAUAUUGUUAUAUUGUCUUUCUGCAUGUGUUGCUGCACUGUUUGUGUUCAGUCUGUUGAACGAUUAUAGAACUGCAACAUAGAUGCUAAUUAGCAUUAAGCUAGCAGACUCAAAGGCUAAGCCAUGUUGUUGUUUUAAUUACACAAGGUAUAAUUCUUUUUUGUUUGGCUUGACAAUAAACUUCUGCUGGGAGUGGCAUGAAACAGCUUGAGCACUAACUAUCAAGAACACAACAUUCUUCAUAAGUGGUGACACAAUUAACAACUAUAAUGCCGCUCGGCAUGCUGACCAGUGUUGACCUCCCUCAAUACUUAUUUGUGUGGAAAGGGGAAAUUCAACUCCAAUUUGACGCAUGGGUUUGGGUUUUUCUCCACUGAGAAUACACGACAGUUAUAAGUAAGAAAGAACAGACCAGUGGUUAUGACCAGGUAAAAUCGUACAAUUGUGGGUUCAUAUGUCUUGUUUACUGUAUCUAGUAUCAUGCAACUAGAUGGAUAUGAAUCAUUACGCAAACGGGUUUACAUUUACCUACAAUUUCAUGUCAUGAGGGGGCAUGCUCGGCAAUACACCACCAAAUGAGUUACUGUGCCCCUCCCCCCUUACACCGCCCCCUGCAGUGUAGCUUUUUCGUGCCAAGCUUGAUAUAAAAUUUAAUCCAAAUGCAAAUUUAUCCAUCCAUUUUCUGAACCGCUUCUCCUCACUAGGGUCGCGGGUGUGCUGGAACCUAUCUCAGCUGACUCUGGGUGAGAAGUGGAGUACACCCUGAACUGGUCACAUAGGCACACAACCAUUCACACACACUUUCACACCUACGGGCAAUUUAGAGUCUUCAGUUAACCUACCAUGCAUGUUUUUGCAAUGUGGGAGGAAACCGGAGUACCCAGAAAAAACCCACGAGGCACGGGGAGAACAUGCAAACUCCACACAGGGGAGGCCGGAUUUGAACCCAGGUCCUCAAAACUAUGAUGCAGAUGUGCUAACCAGUUGUGCACCAUACUGCCCCCAAGUUUCAGGUGCUGAAUUUUUUUUUAGCCACUAUCAGUGAGAUCCUUCCAUCAAUCCAUGCAUUUUCAGAGCCGCUUCUCCUCACGAGGGUCGCGGGCGUGUUGGAGCCUAUCCCAGCUAUCAUCGGGCAGGAGGCGGGGUACACCCUAAACUAGUAGCAAGCCAAUCGUAGGGCACAUACAAACAACAACCAUUCGCACUCACAUUCACACCUACGGGCAAUUUAGAGUUGUCAAUUAACCUACCAUGCAUGUUUUUGGGAUGUGGGAGGAAACCAGAGUGCCCGGAGAAAACCCACGCAGGUACAGGGAGAACAUGCAAACUCCACACAGGCGGAACACAAACACUAAUCAGAACACAAACACUAAUCUUGUGUCUCAUCAGUGUGUAUUAUGGUUGUUGUUGUUCAUCCACUGCGGGAGCAGGAUUUUUCUUUGUGGACAAGAAGGACAAGACCCUGCGACACUGUAUCAAUUACCGGGGUCUCAAUGAAAUAACUGUGAAAAACAGGUACCCUCUUCCUCUCAUCUCCACCGCCUUUGAGUUCCUGGAGGGAGCCUAGGUUUUCACCAAACUAGACUUGAGAAAUGCGUAUCAUCUCGUCAGGAUAAGGGAGGAGGAUGAAUAGAAAACAGCAUUCAACACACCAACGGGACAUUAUGAGUAUUUGGUAAUGCCUUUUGGACUAAGUAACGCUCCAGCUGUUUUCCAGAACAUGUCUUGCGUGAUAUGUUGAAAGUGUACGUUUUUGUAUAUUUGGAUGAGGAGACUCACAUCAUUCAUGUCCGCUCUGUGUUGCAGCAGUUACUGCAGAAUGAACUAUAUGUCAAGGCUGAGAAAUGUUCCACAAGGCGUCCGUUUCUUUUUUGGGUUUUGUGCUGGCUCCAGGUGAAAUGAAAAUGGACCCUUGCAAAGUUGAUGCCGUGACUAAUUGGCCCACUCCCACGUCACGUAAGGACGUACAAAGGUUCUUAGGGUUCAAUAAAUUUCUAGAGAAGAUUCAUUUGAAAUUUCAGUUCAAUAGCCUCGCCUUUGCAUGAUCUUACCUCGCCACAUAGACCCUUUGUGUGGAACCCGCUUUGUCAGUCAGCUUUUCAGAAACUAAAAUCGAGCUUUACCUCCGCUCCCAUCCUCACUUUGCCAGAUCCCAAACAGCAGUUUGUUGUAGAAGUUGAUGCGUCUGGUGCCGGAAUGGGAGCAGUUCUCUCCCAGAAAUGUCUCAAGGAUGGUAAGUUACAUCCUUGUGCUUAUCUCUCUAAAAAACUGACUCCAGCCGAAAGAAAUUACGACAUACUGUGAACUGCUGGCUGUCAAGGUGGCUUUGGUGGAGUGGAGGCACUGGCUAGAAGGGGCUCAGACACCAUUUUCAGUAUGGACGGAUCACAAGAACCUUGAGUAUCUCAAGUCUGCUAAAAGAUUAAAUGCUAGGAAGGCUAGAUGGGCUCUAUUCUUCACAAGAUUUUAUUUCACAUUAUCGUACCGACCUGGUUCUAAAAAUGGUAAGCCAGAUGCUUUAUCGCGUAUUUUCUGCGUAGAGAAUUCUUUGUCUGACCCUAAAACAAUUUUGCCCAGGUCAUGUUUCAUUUCUGCUUUUGUUUGAGACAUUGAAACUGCGGUAAAAGAGGCUCUGAAGAACACUCUUAGCCCUGAAGAUUGCCCUGAAAACAGGCUUCAUGUGGUCCCGACCUUAAGGGGAAGAGUUAUCCACUGGGCUCACACUAACAGGACUGUAUGUCACCCAGGCAUUGCCAAAACGCAAUCUGUGGUCUUUGUGGCAGGAUUACCGGCCUCUAAAGGAAAUACCACCAUUCUCACAGUUGUUGACAGAUUCUCUAAGAUGGCACACGUCAUUGCACUCUCGAAACUCACCUCAGCUAAAGAAACUGCUGAGUUGAUGAUAAACCAGGUCAACCCCAGAAUCCACGGUUCCAUCUGCAUUGACCUUGGUGAGAUGCUGCAGGAGGACCUGGGAGCGAGCCCGCCAAAUGCUGCUCUGCCAAGGAUGGUCCUACAAGACCGCAGCUGACCGUAGGAGGACACCGGCACCGAACUACAAAGUGGGUCAGCGAGUUUGGCUGUCCACCAAGCAUAUUCCACUCCGGGUGGAGUCCCGGAAGCUCGCUUCCAGGUUCGUUGGGCCCUUCCCCAUCACAAAGGUCAUCAACCCUGUCACCAUGGCUCCCAAGGUCGAUGCGGGUCCACCCUGCAUUUCACGUCAGCCUGCUCAAGCCCGCCCGGGAGUCCCCUCUGGUCCCGCCUUCCAGGCCCCCUCCUCCCCCCCGUUUCAUGGACGGGGGCCCUGUCUUCACGAUGUAGGUGUGAAUUUCCAUCCUGGACCCAGAAAAGAGGGCAUCACAGCACCCUGAAAAAAAUACAUGCUUGUCCAAAAACCCCAAAACCUGACAAAACAACAAAAAUGGACGAAAAUGGUUUUACAAAAAAAAAUCUCAUUAAAUGUCUACUAAUAAUAUACAGUUUAAAUUAAUUUGAAAGCAUGUCUCCUAAUGCUGCACUCUUAUAGUACCUCAAUACAAAAAGUCAGUACAUGUACAGUACAUACUGGUGCAUGAAAAGAGACCAGUGGGGUGAGGCAAUGUUUAGCCACACUUAUUAACAGUGUGUGUGUGCGUGUGUGUGUGUUCUCGCAUGCGUGUGUGUAAAUGGUAAACAAAGAAGUGAUUGCGAGUUAAUCAUAAACACAUACAUACACUAUGGCUUGUGUCUGUCUUUGCUAUGUGUCACUUGCAAGCCUCACUCAUGUGGCUACAGUGUUGCACUUUGGACCAAAUUGUGUGUGGGAUUUUAAAAUGAUGCAACCAGUUAACACUAAAUGUUGAGAAUUAAUUCAAUGGUGAAGGCUGGGGCCUGACAAUAUCAUUAUACUGCAGAAUUUCCAAAGUUGGAAAAAGAAGUAUGUGUGAUAAGGAGUGGGGAAUUGAAUGUUGGUUAAUCAUGUGGCAUUUAAACAAGCAUUCAGAACAUUCUAGGAGAGAUUCUUGCAUUGGGUCCUUGCGGCCAGUUGUCAGGGUGCCUAAGCGGGGCCGGCGGACCGCCCUGGGUCCCACGGUGUGGGACGUGUCCUGUCCACCGGGCUGCUCUCAGUGGACCCCUGGACACGAUCCAGCCCCUCGAUUGAUUGGGUGGGGUCCUCAUGUAUGGUUAAUUUUAUGCAGAAAUGUAUACCUGUUUUGUAUUUUAAACAGACAAUAUUUUAUUUUUGAAAGUAAGAAGCAUUCUGUGAAAAAAAACAAAGCUUUUUUGCCUAUGAUGUUUAAUGUGGCGUCAAAGUUUGAUCAUCUUUUUGAGGAUUCGCAAAGAAAAAGGGUAUACAACGGCCGUUAUUCACUGCUUGCAGCUUUCAUUUUAACAUUGUUUUUUUAUCUUAAUCAUGGUUCACUUGUUUUUCUACUUGUAUGACAUUAAAGAACCUGACUCCAAACAACGCCUGUCCAGGAUUUUUUAUUUUUUUUAUUUUUUAUUUUUUUUAAUGGCUAAAGGUUGUGGUCUGUAGCUGUAACUUUUGUUCCACUAUUUUGAGGCUCUGUGUGGACAAUUCUCAAUGACUACAUUUUGUCUCUAAAGAGUUUUUGUUUUCUAUGUUUGUCUCCUUCAGCCUGUUCGGCCCCCACUUUGGUUGUCCAGGGCAGGCCCCGGCUAAAAACUUUGUUUGCCCUGCCUGAUGGCCUCUCUGUUUGCUUUCUCCUUCACUGGAGCAACCAAGUCUCGCAGUCUGCGCCGCACUCAAGUGCUGGCACAUUCGGGGUCAUUGGCUCUGGGGUCUCGGCCCACCCAGAAUGCUGAGCGUUUGUAGAGAAAGAUAAAGACCUCGGAUGGUUCACUGCUAGGAUGAGGUUUUUUUUUUUUGCAAUCAAGCGUUAAUGUAGUGUGGCUCACAGAUCUACAUUCAGAUUACAAGUUGUUUUUUCUUCUUCUUUGGUAGCUCGCAUCUGAGGUUAGGCAAAAUACACCACAAAGACAUAAUUACAUUCUCGAUACGAGCUCUUAAAUUGACUCAUUUUAAAUGAAAGAUAAUGGAAACUGGUUAAAUG